rnacentral:rRNA from 1 species
ACUGUACAGUAGAGUUUGAUCAUGGCUCAGAACGAACGUUAGCGGCGCGCUUAACACAUGCAAGUCGAGCGAGAAAGGGGCAACCCCGGUAAAGCGGCGCACGGGUGAGUAACACGUAGGUAAUCUACCCCCGGGUGGUGGAUAACCUUCCGAAAGGAAGGCUAAUACAGCAUGGGACCACGGCUUCGAAAGGAGCUGGGGUGAAAGUCGGCCUCUUCGCGAAAGCCGACGCCAGGGGAUGAGCCUGCGGCCCAUCAGCUAGUUGGUAGGGUAAUGGCCUACCAAGGCGAAGACGGGUAGCUGGUCUGAGAGGAUGAUCAGCCACACUGGAACUGAGACACGGUCCAGACUCCUACGGGAGGCAGCAGUGGGGAAUCUUGCGCAAUGGGCGAAAGCCUGACGCAGCGACGCCGCGUGAGUGAUGAAGGCCUUCGGGUUGUAAAGCUCUGUGGGAGGGGGACGAAUAAGCGUUGGUUAAUAUCCGAGCGUGAUGACGGUACCCCUUUAGCAAGCACCGGCUAACUCUGUGCCAGCAGCCGCGGUAAU